AGAGCGAACGCUGGCGGCAGGCCUAACACAUGCAAGUCGAACGGAUCCUUCGGGAUUAGUGGCGGACGGGUGAGUAACACGUGGGAACGUGCCUUUUGGUUCGGAACAACUCAGGGAAACUUGAGCUAAUACCGGAUGUGCCCUUCGGGGGAAAGAUUUAUCGCCAUUAGAGCGGCCCGCGUCUGAUUAGCUAGUUGGUGGGGUAAAGGCCUACCAAGGCUACGAUCAGUAGCUGGUCCGAGAGGAUGAUCAGCCACAUUGGGACUGAGACACGGCCCAAACUCCUACGGGAGGCAGCAGUGGGGAAUCUUGCGCAAUGGGCGAAAACCUGACGCAGCCAUGCCGCGUGAAUGAUGAAGGUCUUAGGAUUGUAAAAUUCUUUCGACCGGGACGAUAAUGACGGUACCCGGAGAAGAACGCCCGGCUAACUUCGUGCCAGCAGCCGC
rnacentral:rRNA from 1 species